UAUUAAAUCAUUUAUCUUAGAAUUUCGGCAAAUUAGCACAGUAUUUUGUUUAUGCGAAAUUUCAAAUAGAAAUAUUAAAGAAAGGACGGACGAGUUUGGAUCGACCCAAAAAGUGAUUUUAAGUUCAUGGAUGCACCAAAAGGAGAGAGAGGAUUCAUUAUUCAUGGUGUUAAAUUGACUAGUGUAAUAUUACGGUGUUGUUAUGAUUUUAGUCAACUCAAUUAAUAUGUGGAAAACUCAUACCAAUUAUGAUAUC